CGGAAGAUCCGAGCGUUAUCCGGAAUUACUGGGCGUAAAGAGUUGCGUAGGUGGCAUGUAAAGCGAGUAGUGAAAGACUCCGGCUCAACCGGAGGCACAUUAUUCGAACUCACAAGCUAGAGCAUAGUAGAGGUACCUGGAAUUCCUAGUGUAGGAGUGAAAUCCGUAGAUAUUAGGAGGAACACCGAUGGCGUAGGCAGGGUACUGGGCUAUUGCUGACACUAAGGCACGAAAGCGUGGGGAGCGAACGGGAUUAGAUACCCCGGUAGUCCACGCCGUAAACUAUGGAUGCUAGCUGUUAUCAGUAUCGACCCUGAUAGUAGCGAAGCUAACGCGUUAAGCAUCCCGCCUGUGGAGUACGAGCGCAAGCUUG
rnacentral:rRNA from 1 species